UUUGGAAAUUAUUCAUUAAAACAUUAAUUUAUAUGAAAAUUUUUGUGGGUUUUAGAUUUCUUAAAGAAAUUUAAAUGAUUAAUGAUUGAUGCAAUAAAUGAUUUUAUUAAUAUUAAAUAAAUUUAGAUUUAGUGAAUGUUUUAAGGUUUGAUAAAAGUUGUGCCAGCAUUCGCGGUUAAACAACAAAAUCAAGUGAAUAUUAUUGGCUUUGAAAUAAUUAACAUUGAUAUUGUAUUUUAUAUUAAUUUGAAUAUUUUAAGGUGAAAUAUUUAAAAUAUUUUGAAUUUAUAAUGUUUUUAGUGUGAAAUUAUGAAAAUAAAAUUGUAAACUAGGAUUAGAUACCCUAUUAUUUUUAUUGUAAAUAAAAUAAAGCUAGAGUAGUAAUAGUUAUGAUCUUAAAACUUAAAGAAUUUGGCGGUAUUAUAGUCUAUUUAGAGGAAUCUGUUAUGUAAUCGAUAACCCACGUUGAACCUUACUUGUAUUAUUUUCUUGUAUACCACUGUUUAGGAGAAUACUUUUAGGUUAAUUUUCUGAAUAAAAAAUUAAUUAAUAUUUCAAGUCAAGGUGCAGUAAUGUAUAAGUUGAAUAAUGGAUUACAAUAAAUUUUAUUUAUUAUGAAUUAUUAUUGAAAUAUAAUUUGAAGGUGGAUUUAAUUGUAAUUUUAUGAAUUUUGUUAAAAUGAUUUAAAGCUCUAUAGUAUGUACACAUCGCCCGUCACUCUCAUUAUUAAGAUGAGAUAAGUCGUAACAAAGUAGGUGUAUCGGAAGAUGUACCUAGAAUGUAA
rnacentral:ncRNA from 1 species